rnacentral:rRNA from 1 species
UACGUAGGGUGCGAGCGUUAAUCGGAAUUACUGGGCGUAAAGCGUGCGCAGGCGGUUCGUUGUGUCCGAUGUGAAAGCCCCGGGCUUAACCUGGGAACGGCAUUGGAAACUGGCGGGCUGGAGUGCGGCAGAGGGGGGUGGAAUUCCGCGUGUAGCAGUGAAAUGCGUAGAGAUGCGGAGGAACACCGAUGGCGAAGGCAGCCCCCUGGGCCGACACUGACGCUCAGGCACGAAAGCGUGGGGAGCAAACAGG